ACUCGCACAAGGGAAAGGGAGAAAAGCCACCACCAAAACACAAGCCACCUCACGGGCACUUAUUAGUUGAAGAGGUUGAAGACUCACACAAGGGGAAAGGAGAAAAACCACCGCCAAAGCACAAACCACCUCAUGGACACCUUUUAGCUGAAGAGGCCAACGACUCUCACAAAGGAAAGGGAGAGAAGCCACCAUGCAAGUCUCCUCACAAACCCCCAUCAGCCAACUAAGUGCCUUACGCUAAUUUCGCUAGAUGCUUAAAAAUAAGAAACAGAAGUAGUUUACUCUUCUGUUGGUUUCUGUAUCUGCAUUUUUCACUGAAUUAGUAUUUGUACUUUGGCUUGUAUUAUAUGAGUACUACCCUCUAGUUGGCUGUUUUAUGUAGAUUAUGGUUUUAUGUUCUAGUGCUGCGCGUAUUAUUUCAGUUGACUUAACUUUUAUUUGCAAAAUAUACAGCAAGACAUGCACACAAUCCUAGUACGUAGUUUUGCCACAUGCAUAUAUUUGGUGGUAGGAUAUUGUCAACGACAACAACGUUUAAUUACUUUAACUUAAACACGUGCUGAUGAUUUUUUUUUUUGUAAAAGCCCUUUAUUAGUAAACUAGUAUUACUCUGACAUCAACAGAUAUACCAUAGGUUUUGUCUAAAACUUGAAGGUUUCUGUAGUUUAAUUUGGUAAGUAAAAUUUUUUGUGUGUAGCACAUAAUGAAUAUGUUACUUACAUGUGUAGAUUUAUAUUUUACAUUUUAUUUUAAUAUUAGAUAAUUAAUAUAUAUAUAUUUAAUUAUUUAAAUUUAUAUAUAUUACUAAUUUAUUAAUUUAGUCUAUAUAUAUAUAUGAUAUACAUUUAAGUUAAAUUAGGUAAGAAGUUAUUAAGUACUUCCAAAUUAAUAUGAAAUAAUUCUCUAAAGGAAAUGAAUCAACUCUUGGAAAAUGUCGGGAGAAAAGAUUUCAAAUUUCUGCAUGUCUCUGUUUCUGCUCAGUGGAUGUCUCUGUUUCUGCUUGCUGCCUAUGUUGCAAUAUUUAUUUGGCUUUUUAUUCCUGGUAAAUUUCUUAUUUUCCUCUUAAUUUUGACUAGGCCGGCUGAUUCGGGAGUAAGAUUUAAGUAGUUUUAUAUUUAAUGAAAAGUAGAAUUCUGAAGAAGCGAAAAUAAAUAUAAAAAGGGAUAAUUGGUGUUCUGAGUGAAUCAUUAUUAAACACAAAAUUAGUAUUACAAACAAAAUUGCAAUUAUCAAAAUGACAGUAUGCUCCACAGAUAGAUGAUUAUCUAAUCAGUACUUAUAAUUAGCCUAAAUUUAAUAGGAAUAGUACAGAAUUAAACUUUCUUUUUUAAAAAAAGGGUCAUUAAACUGAAUCAUAAGAACAGGAUAGAGAGUAUUUGUAAUCAAAGAAACAUAGAGAGAAUUCAAAGUAAUGCCCCCAGAUGAUAGCCCUGAACAAUAAAUAUUACUUAGAAAAACAAACUGCCAAGAGAAAUUAGUCAAUAAAAUUUAGAUUGAAUCACGAUAUUUAUAAACGAGUAGAUAAAUAUAUCUUUUUUAUUAAAAAAUAAUAUUGCAUAAUUCAUCUUAAUUUAUUUCAACUUUUACUCAUAAAAUGUGAUAUAUAAUAUAUUUAUAAAAUUAUUAAUAUUUUGAUAUUACUCUCUUAAUUAAUAAAUAAUUCCAUAAAAACAUCAUACACCAUAUUAUAUAAACAAUAGUUGGGACAAAUCAAAAUGAAAUGUUUAGCAUUUUUCUAGUUAAAACCUAUUCUACAAUUCAAACCAAAAAUAGCAGUCCAAGAAAGCAUAUCUUUCACUAAUAAUCCAAACAAAUCGCUAAUUCUAAACAACCACGUUUUGGUUAAAAGAUUAUUAAUUUAGUUUGUCUAAUAAUUCGAUCCUGAAUUUGCUGAGCCGCAGUAGGAUCUCGCUCGUAUAUACAAAUCCUGAAGAAGAUCACUAUAAAUUUCUGAUCCAAUAAUGAAACUUUGAAGUCCAUAAGUAGGUUUAGGAGAAAUUUAAAGGCAGAUUCAGUUUUAAUAUUAAAUUAUAAAUAAUAUCAAUUAUACAGUAAUAUAUAACAUUAUUUACUGAUUAUUACACUUAUAUCAGUUGAAUUCUAGCCAUAAAUAAUGAAUGGUAUGGAUAGUAGUACUUAAAAAGAAUAAUCUCCAUAUAUAUAUAAAUGCAUGGAAUUUAAUAACUUUCACACCUAUGAAAUUAUCCCACCUAAAACAGAAAACCUUAGUAUUAAAUUGAGAAUAAUGCAGAAAUAUAAAUAUUUGAAAUAAUUACAAAUAAUGCAGAAAUACAAGGACCGCAGGAAAACAGAGGCCACACACUCUUGGCUGGAAUGAUUUUCCUAUUUUUGCAUGCUCACCCAUUACUCUACUCUAUCGCAUUAUUAUUGUUCAAAACUUCACAACUUAACAAAUAUACUUCCAACACAUCACAUGCGUGACCCAUUAAUUAUUACAUGUGAACGUAAAAUGAGAAGUGGUGACAACAGCAGUGAUGUCACACUUUCUGAUAUUACUACAAUUCUUGGAUGACUUACCUUAAUUCCUUUCUGGUGCAUGUUGCAGUAAUUUAUUAGAAAUACAUAAGACCUUUUUUUUCUUCCUAUCUCUUUGUUUCAUUGUAGAAUAGUCCGAGACAACGAUAAUAUCUUACACUUAAUUUGUCUGUAAAUAUAUAUACACUUGACUUUACAUGCUAUAGUAUUAUUAACUAGUCACCUAGACAGAUUUGAAGUAGAUAAUAUUUAUCGAUAAAUUACUUUCUAGAUUUCUAUUUUAUGGUUACAUACAUCAAAAUUUCUGCAAAACAAGUGGAGAAUAGCCUAAUUUGGGGAUUCAAAGAAACUUUGAUGGCUUCUUUUUCUACUCGAAAUUAUACUAAAAAUAAUUCAUAAACAUGAAUGAUCCAAGGGUGGAGAGCAAGACUCUUAGCCAGUUUGUCAAAAAUUUUAACUCGAUGGGACCCAAUAGAUCUAAUUGGUUCGUAAGAGAGCCAAAUGUAUUCAACUUCACUACAUAGUGUACUAAUCUAUAGUAAAGGACAGGUGCAGUAUGACAUGGGUGGUGACGACAUAGUCCCACCGUCCACCCAUGCAAUAUUAUAAAAGGCAGAGCAAAGCUUCAAGUUUUGCACCAUCAACUGAACCCCAAAUAUGUCUUCUAAAUACUUGCUAGUGUUGUUCCUCCUCGGAGCAUUAGUGCUUCUCUUCACAACCCCCUCAUAUGCUGAUCAUCAUGAGCCCCUUAGAAAUAAAGGAGAGAAACCACCUCCAAAACAUAAACCACCACAUGUUCAUCUUCUAGCUGAAAAUAUAGAAGAUUUUCAUGGACAUGCAAAAGGUAAAAGAGACAAGCCACCACCUAAACAUAAACCACCACAUGGACAUCUUUUAGCUGAGGAAGUAGAUGAUUAUUCUACAUCUCCGGGAUGGAAACUACAUAAUCCUCCAUCAGAGCAUAAACCACCGCAUAAGCCUCCACAUGAGCAAAAGCCACUAAAUAGACGUCUUUUACAAGUAGAUAUUGAGGAUGCACAUAAAGAAAAGGGAGAGAAGCCACCACAUGGACAUCUUUUGGCCGAGGAAGUUAUGGAGGACUCGCCUAAGAAAAAGGGAGAGAAGCCACCACCAAAGCACAAGCCACCACAUGGACAUCUUUUGGCCGAGGAAGAGGUCGAGGACUCACACAAAGGGAAGGGAGAGAAGCCACCACCAAAGCACAAGCCACCACAUGGACAUCUUUUGGCCGAGGAAGAAGUUGAGGACUCACACAAGGGAAAGGGAGAGAAGCCACCACCAAAACACAAGCCCCCGCAUGGACAUCUUUUAGCUGAAGAAAAAGUUGAGGACUCACACAAGGGAAAAGGAGAGAAGCCACCACCAAAACACAAGCCCCCGCAUGGACACCUUUUAGCUGAAGAAGAAGUUGAUGAUUCGCACAAGGGAGAGGGAGAAAAGCCACCACCAAAACACAAGCCACCUCACGGGCACUUAUUAGUUGAAGAGGUUGAAGACUCACACAAGGGGAAAGGAGAAAAACCACCGCCCAAGCACAAACCACCUCAUGGACACCUUUUAACUGAAGAGAUCAACGACUCUUACAAAGGAAAGGGAGAGAAGCCAC
rnacentral:lncRNA from 1 species